AUUCUUACCUGGCGUAGGGGGAUACCGUGAUCAUGCAGGAGGUUCCCCAGGGCGAGGCUGCUCCGUUGCACUGCAGAGUGGUUGACCCUUGCGAUUAUUAUUAUUUAGAUAACGGUCAAAGUUAAUGUAAAAUCAAAGAAGACUUCAUAUUUUUUUC